GUGUCAGCCGCCGCGGUAAUACGUAGGUGGCAAGCGUUGUCCGGAAUUACUGGGCGUAAAGGGUGCGCAGGCGGACUUUUAAGUGAGAUGUGAAAGACCCGGGCUUAACUUGGGCAGUGCAUUUCAAACUGGAUGUCUGGAGUGCAGGAGAGGAGAAUGGAAUUCCUAGUGUAGCGGUGAAAUGCGUAGAGAUUGGGAGGAACACCAGUGGAGAAGGCGGUUCUCUGG
rnacentral:rRNA from 1 species